CCUACGGGUGGCUGCAGUGGGGAAUAUUGGUCAAUGGGCGCAAGCCUGACCCAGCAACGCCGCGUGAAGGAAGAAGGCUUUCGGGUUGUAAACUUCUUUUGUCAGGGAAGAGUAGAAGACGGUACCUGACGAAUAAGCGACGGCUAACUACGUGCCAGCAGCCGCGGUAAUACGUAGGUGGCGAGCUUUUUCCGGAUUUACUGGGGGUAAAGGGCGUGUGGCCGGGUUGACAAGUCAGAUGUGAAAUCCUGCGGCUGAAACGCAGAACUGCCUUUGAAACUGCUGUUCUUGAGUACUGGAGAGGCAGACGGAAUUCGUGGUGUAGCGGUGAAAUGCGUAGAUAUUAGGAGGAACACCAGUGGCGAAGGCGGCAUGCUGGACAGCAACUGACGGUGAGGCGCGAAAGCGUGGGGAGCAAACAGGAUUAGAUACCCGUGUAGUC
rnacentral:rRNA from 1 species